UCAAAAACAUGUCCUUUUGUUAAUAAUUUAAGGUCUGACCUGCCCAAUGAAUAUUUAAAUGGCCGCAGUAUUUUGACUGUGCAAAGGUAGCAUAAUCAUUAGUUUUUUAAUUGUAAGCUGGAAUGAAUGGUUUGAUGAGAAAAUAACUGUCUCAAUUUAAUUGUUUUAGAAUUUUAAUUUUAAGUGAAAAAGCUUAAAUUUUUAAGGAAGACGAGAAGACCCUAUAGAGUUUAAUAUUUCUAUAUUAUGAUUGGUUUUAGAUUUAUUUAAGAUUUUAAUGUAGAAUUAUUUUAUUGGGGUGAUAUUAAAAUUUAAUAAACUUUUAAUUUAUUUAAACAUUUUUUUGUGAUUAUUUGAUCCUAAUUUUUAGAUUAUAAGAUAAAAUUACCUUAGGGAUAACAGCGUAAUUUUUUUUAAGAGUUCUUAUCGAAAAAAAAGUUUGCGACCUCGAUGU
rnacentral:rRNA from 1 species